rnacentral:rRNA from 1 species
AUUGAACGCUGGCGGCAGGCCUAACACAUGCAAGUCGAGGGAAGCGGCGGACGGGUGAGUAACGCGUGAGUAACUGCCCCCCUCUCUGGGAUAACAGUUGGAAACGGCUGCUAAUACCGGAUAGUGGGGGAUGACUCGCGUCCUAUCAGCUUGUUGGUGGUGUAGUGGCCGACCAAGGCGACGACGGGUAGCCGGCCUGCGAGGGGGACCGGGCACAUUGGGCUGAGACACGGCCCAAACUCCUACGGGCGGCAGCAGUGGGGAAUAGUGCAAAACGGGGGGAACCCUGAUGCAGCAACGCCGCGUGCGGGAUGACGGCCUUCGGGUUGUAAGCCGCUUUCAGCCAUGACGCGAUAGUGGCAGAAGAAGCACCGGCUAACUACGUGCCAGCAGCCGCGUAAUAC